ACAUUUUUUGACAAAUAAUGGCUGUAUAACGAGUAACUUUUUUUGGCCAAAGUAAUUGUACAUGUAGUCUAUUCCUUCUAUUGAGGAACAAGUAAUGCCCUGGAUUUCAGCUUGACAAAAGGGCUUCACUGUCACAGUAGCAAGCAUUCUUUCAAAGUUACUCAAACCCUCAACUUUUGUGGGUUUUAGAACUGUCUCACAGUGCUCGAUACGAUGCUUGACCGAUUUAUGUUUUGGAUACAAGAUGGAUUCACAGACAAUGACGUGCCUCACUUUAGAAACUGCUCCAAGAGAGGCCAUCAUUGUUGCCCCUGCUGAAAAUACCACUCGACUUUGGCUUAAGAGGGGCCACGUGGAAAGGGUUUCCAGAGUUGCUUUGCUACAUUUUACAAAUCACACCGUGUUGGAGUACUUUCUGUCGCCCGAUCCAAACGCGACCUUUUUGGGUAUACCUGAUUUUACCGAAAUAGGAUCUUUUCCUAUUCAUCACUCUUUCGAUUGGGGUAUUUUGAUGUGCGCUUAAUAUUCGACCGACUGCAAAAAGUGGGUUUAUGGCUCAGAGUCAUGGGUGGAUGGACCUAGGAUGCUCAACAUGCAUUUGGAAACCCUUGACUAUAACCAAGUUGGCAUUAUCAACAACAACCUUUGGGUUAUUGGAGGCUUUGAUUCAGGAAGGACAUUUUCUACCACGGAAUAUUAUACUCCAGAGGGUGAAUGGGUUCGGGGCCCUAAUUUACCCCAUCCUUUAAACAAAUUUGGUGUAGCUCCAAUUUCAAACUCGCAAGUCCUUAUUGUUGGAGGCAUCAUGAACGGGAAUUAUCAAAAAGAUAUUAGAUUGUUCGAUCUUGUCAAUGGAACCUGGUCCACAAUAGAUACUCAUCCUGAAAAAGUGGCAUUGGUGGCGUGUGCCAGGCACACUUUGUUGAGCGGAAAGGACGUGGUGUUUUGCACUGGGGGAAGAUGUCAAUCCCCAUGUGGAACUUCAUUAGGUGCCUUUGGAAUCACCGGAGUGUAUGACAUUGAUUCGGGCACUUGGACCUUGACCCCAGAAUGGGAUCUCCCCAUAAAAUGUGUUGAACCGAGGAUGCGUGUUUUGGAUGGUCGCCUAUUGAUAAUGGGAGGAUCAUUUAAGGAUGGAAAUAACAACCGAGUUCUAGAGUUCAAGGAAGGAGAGACUCCUGUAUGGCAAGAACUUGAGAGUAUGCUCAUAAAUGCCUUUAUGAAAAGUGCAAUAAGCGUUGAAGCAUCAAUUUGGAUCCCAGACUAGUGGGAUUCUUUCAAUAACUGUUGCUUUCUUGGGCUAGUCAUCAAUAACAUUUCCGUUUACAUCUUCAUUCAUUGCUCUCCAUGGAUCAUGUAUGUCCCUUGGGUUUCAAUUAACAUCUUGCUAUCAGCUAUCAUCCUUCAUCUAAUCAUAUAGCAAUAACGGAACUGAAGUAGGAUAACAAUGGAUUGUGUUCCUCAAUCCUUUCUAUUGAUAUUGUAUAUAUGUCAAUGUAGUGCUAAUAGUGAUACCCCAAAUUCACCAUUCAGUGUAAGAUCCUCCCUUUUACAUUCAAUAUAGAUCGAUACCUCGA